CAACUGAUGAGCACCAUCAAUUCUGGUCAGGGUUCAUCGAUCUCUACCAUGAAAACGAGUGCCUGCGGCAUGUCAGAAGUCCGGACUAUGCCAACAGAACAAAGAGAAAUCGGGCAUAUCAACAGCUCAUCCAGUACAGUAGAGGCAGAAACUAUGUUGCCGAUGUGCCUUGGGUGAAGAAAAUAGCAAAUUUCCAAACAGUCUUUGUAAAGGAACACAAAAAGGUGCAGGAAUCGCAGCAAUCCGGAGCCAGGACAGAUGAGGUCUAUAAGCCGACGCUGUGGUACUAUGACCAAUUGAAGUUCAUUUUGGAGCAAUAGUUGUGGGUAAGGUCACGGGACACUCUGGAUCCAGAGAUCUCCAGUUCUUGUAGAAGAGGAGGCCCAGGAUAGUCUGGAUCUGGAACUUACCCCAGAGCAAGAACAAGCCGCAUGGCGAGAAGGACCACUUCUGCCCCCUAUCUGCAUAGGCCCCCGGACGUGGAUCAACAGUUCCGCAUUUUAUUGCAGCGGAGAUGCGGUUGAUGACCAAGGAUCAAAAGAUUAUCCACAGACGUUCUGUCGGAAAAAUCUGCUGGUGACCUUAUCCUAUGCUCUUGCUCCAAGUGAACUUUAUUGAGGUCAUUAAUACUGCAACGUCGGUUUUGUGACCUCACUGUCCCGGACUACUGAUCGUUGUGAUCACUGCACUUCUCGUGUUCCUUCAAGACUGUUUGGAAAUUUGCUGUUUGUUGAAAUUUGUUCGCACUGGGUUUGCCUCUACUGUACUGGGAUAUGCCCGAUUCCUGUUCUGUUGGCAUAGUCCCUGUAAAAAGGCACUCGCUCUCAUGGUACACUGUAUGAUUCCUGACCAG